rnacentral:rRNA from 1 species
ACUCCUGCGGGAGGCAGCAGUGGGGAAUUUUGGACAAUGGGCGAAAGCCUGAUCCAGCAAUGCCGCGUGAGUGAAGAAGGCCUUCGGGUUGUAAAGCUCUUUUGUCAGGGAAGAAACGGUGAAAGCUAAUAUCUUUUGCUAAUGACGGUACCUGAAGAAUAAGCACCGGCUAACUACGUGCCAGCAGCCGCGGUAAUACGUAGGGUGCAAGCGUUAAUCGGAAUUACUGGGCGUAAAGCGUGCGCAGGCGGUUUUGUAAGUCUGAUGUGAAAUCCCCGGGCUCAACCUGGGAAUUGCAUUGGAGACUGCAAGGCUAGAAUCUGGCAGAGGGGGGUAGAAUUCCACGUGUAGCAGUGAAAUGCGUAGAUAUGUGGAGGAACACCGAUGGCGAAGGCAGCCCCCUGGGUCAAGAUUGACGCUCAUGCACGAAAGCGUGGGGAGCAAACAGGAUUAGAUACCCGGGUAGUCCC